rnacentral:rRNA from 1 species
CUACGGGACGCACCAGUGAGGAAUAUUGGUCAAUGGGCGCGAGCCUGAACCAGCCAUCCCGCGUGCAGGAUGACGGCCCUAUGGGUUGUAAACUGCUUUUCUAUGCCAAGAAACCUGAUUACGUGUAAUCAGUUGCCGGUAGCAUAGGAAUAAGCAUCGGCUAACUCCGUGCCAGCAGCCGCGGUAAUACGGAGGAUGCAAGCGUUAUCCGGAUUCAUUGGGUUUAAAGGGUGCGCAGGUGGGCUUGUAAGUCAGUGGUGAAAUGCUGCCGCUUAACGGUAGAACUGCCAUUGAUACUGCGAGUCUUGAGUAUGGUUGAGGUAGGCGGAAUGUGUUGUGUAGCGGUGAAAUGCAUAGAUAUGACACAGGACGCCAAUUGCGAAGGCAGCUUACUAAGCCAUUACUGACGCUGAGGCACGAAAGCGUGGGGAGCGAACAGGAUUAGAUACCCUGGUAGUC